GAUGAACGCUGGCGGUGUGCCUAAUACAUGCAAGUCGAGCGAACAGACGAGGAGCUUACUCUUCUGACGUUAGCGGCGGACGGGUGAGUAACACGUGGAUAACCUACCUAUAAGACUGGGAUAACUUCGGGAAACCGGAGCUAAUACCGGAUAACAUGAUGAACCGCAUGGUUCAACAGUGAAAGACGGUCUUGCUGUCACUUAUAGAUGGAUCCGCGUCGCAUUAUCUAGUUGGUAAGGUAACGGCUUACCAAGGCAACGAUGAGUAGCCGACCUGAGAGAGUAAUCGGCCACACUAGAACUGAGACACCGUCCAGACUCCUACGGGAGGCAGCAGUAGGGGAUCUUCCGCAAUGGGCGGAAGCCUGACGGAACAACGCCGCGUGAGUGAAUAAGGUCUUCGGAUCGUAAAACUCUGUUAUUAGGGAAGAACAAAUGUGUAGGUAACUAUGCACGUCUUGACGGUACCUAAUCAGAAAGCCACGGCUAACUACGUG
rnacentral:rRNA from 1 species